CCCAGACUCCUACGGGAGGCAGCAGUGAGGAAUAUUGGUCAAUGGGCGGGAGCCUGAACCAGCCAAGUCGCGUGAGGGAUGACGGUCCUAUGGAUUGUAAACCUCUUUUGUCAGGGAGCAAAGGGCGCCACGUGUGGCGCUUUGCGAGUACCUGAAGAAAAAGCAUCGGCUAACUCCGUGCCAGCAGCCGCGGUAAUACGGAGGAUGCGAGCGUUAUCCGGAUUUAUUGGGUUUAAAGGGUGCGCAGGCGGAAUGUCAAGUCAGCGGUAAAAUUUCGGGGCUCAACCCCGUCGUGCCGUUGAAACUGGCGUUCUUGAGUGAGCGAGAAGUAUGCGGAAUGCGUGGUGUAGCGGUGAAAUGCAUAGAUAUCACGCAGAACUCCGAUUGCGAAGGCAGCAUACCGGCGCUCAACUGACGCUCAUGCACGAAAGCGUGGGUAUCGAACAGGAUUAGAUACCCUGGUA
rnacentral:rRNA from 1 species